AAAUAAUGAGCAAACUAAAAUCUCAGAAAAUAGUUCGAAUGAAACUGGAGCUGAUGAGCAACAACAAUUCGAUAAUGGGAAUACAAAUGGGAACCCGGUGAAGGACAAUGGUAUGAAUGAGGUGUUUCCUGAUGGGGCUCAGACAGAGCUUUUGAAUGAGACUGGUACUCAGAAUUCAUCAUGGUCAACACAAGUUUCAGAGUCAAAGAAUGAGAAGGAAUUACAAGCAUCUUCAUCAUCAAAGGGACAAAUGGUCGAAUACAGCUGGAAACUUUGCAAUGUCGCCGCCGGAGCAGACUAUAUUCCUUGCCUUGACAAUGAGCAAGCUAUCAAGAAACUUCCAAGCACAAAACACUAUGAACACCGAGAGAGGCAUUGCCCCGAAGAAGGCCCAACCUGCCUUGUUGGUUAUCCAGAUGGAUACAGACAGCCGAUCCAGUGGCCUUUUAGCAGGG
rnacentral:misc_RNA from 1 species